UACUCUUCCGAUCUCGGAGCUCCGCGCGCGGAGCACCAUAGCUAAAAAAAUACUGGUAACCCAUCGAUGCGAGAAAAUUUGGUUUCAUAGCCAUGACGUCAUCAAUCGUCCGUACGUACGUCCGUCCGUCCGUCCGCCUCUUCAUGUAAGUCAAACGUGAAACGUCGCAACGUACAAGUUUGCAGGCGCAGAGUUAAUGACCAUAAACAAAAACUUAAUAAUGAGGAACUCCGCUUUUAGGCUUGGCUAAAUCUAUUUAGUAAAUUUUU